rnacentral:rRNA from 1 species
UAAUACAGCUUUCAGCAACGGAUCUCUUGGCUCUCGCAUCGAUGAAGGACGCAGCGAAUUGCGAUAAGUAAUGUGAAUUGCAGAUUUUCCGUGAAUCAUCGAAUCUUUGAACGCACCUUGCGCUCCUUGGUAUUCCGAGGAGCAUGCCUGUUUGAGUGUCAUCG